GACGAACGCUGGCGGCGUGCCUAAUACAUGCAAGUUGAGCGCUGAAGGUUGGUACUUGUACCAACUGGAUGAGCAGCGAACGGGUGAGUAACGCGUGGGGAAUCUGCCUUUGAGCGGGGGACAACAUUUGGAAACGAAUGCUAAUACCGCAUAAAAACUUUAAACACAAGUUUUAAGUUUGAAAGAUGCAAUUGCAUCACUCAAAGAUGAUCCCGCGUUGUAUUAGCUAGUUGGUGAAGUAAAGGCUCACCAAGGCGAUGAUACAUAGCCGACCUGAGAGGGUGAUCGGCCACAUUGGGACUGAGACACGGCCCAAACUCCUACGGGAGGCAGCAGUAGGGAAUCUUCGGCAAUGGACGAAAGUCUGACCGAGCAACGCCGCGUGAGUGAAGAAGGGUUUCGGAUCGUAAAACUCUGUUGGUAGAGAAGAACGUUGGUGAGAGUGGAAAGCUCAUCAAGUGACGGUAACUACCCAGAAAGGGACGGCUAACUACGUG
rnacentral:rRNA from 1 species